rnacentral:rRNA from 1 species
GACGAACGCUGGCGGCGUGCCUAAUACAUGCAAGUAGAACGCAGUUGCGAACGGGUGAGUAAAGCGUAGGUAACUGCAUGGAAGCGGGGGGUAACUAUUGGAAACGAUAGCUAAUACCGCAUACUACCAGAUGGACCUGCGGUGUAUUAGCUAGUUGGUGAGGUAACGGCUCACCAAGGCAACGAUACAUAGCCGACCUGGGAAGGUGAUCGGCCACACUGGGACUGGGGCACGGGCCAGACUCCCACGGGAGGCAGCAGUAGGGGAACUUCGGCAAUUGGGGGAAAGCUGACCGAGCAACGCCGCGUGGGGGAAGAAGGGUUUCGGAUCGUAAAGCUCUGUUGUUAAGGAAGCGGUACUUAACCAGAAAGGGACGGCUAACUACGUGCCAGCCGCCGCGGUAAUUC